rnacentral:rRNA from 1 species
AUUGAACGCUGGCGGAAUGCUUUACACAUGCAAGUCGAACGGUAGAGGGGGCAACCCCUUGAGAGUGGCGAACGGGUGAGUAAUAUAUCGGAACGUGCCCAGUCGUGGGGAUAACGUAGCGAAAGUUACGCUAAUACCGCAUACGAUCUACGGAUGAAAGCGGGGGACUCGCAAGAGCCUCGCGCGAUUGGAGCGGCCGAUAUCAGAUUAGGUAGUUGGUGGGGUAAAGGCUCACCAAGCCAACGAUCUGUAGCUGGUCUGAGAGGACGACCAGCCACACUGGAACUGAGACACGGUCCAGACUCCUACGGGAGGCAGCAGUGGGGAAUAUUGGACAAUGGGCGAAAGCCUGAUCCAGCAAUGCCGCGUGAGUGACGAAGGCCUUAGGUUGUAAAGCUCUUUACCCGGGUAUGAUAAAUGACAGUACCGGGAGAAUAAGCUCCGGCUAACUCCGUGCCAGCAG